UACGUAGGGUGCGAGCGUUAAUCGGAAUUACUGGGCUUAAAGCGUGCGCAGGCGGCUUGGUAAGACAGAUGUGAAAUCCCCGGGCUCAACCUGGGAACUGCAUUUGUGACUGCAUCGCUGGAGUGCGGCAGAGGGAGAUGGAAUUCCGCGUGUAGCAGUGAAAUGCGUAGAUAUGCGGAGGAACACCGAUGGCGAAGGCAAUCCCCUGGGCCUGCACUGACGCUCAUGCACGAAAGCGUGGGGAGCAAACAGG
rnacentral:rRNA from 1 species